rnacentral:rRNA from 1 species
CCUACGUGAGGCUGCAGUCGAGAAUCAUUCACAAUGGGGGCAACCCUGAUGGUGCGACGCCGCGUGGGGGAAUGAAGGUCUUCGGAUUGUAAACCCCUGUCAUGUGGGAGCAAAUUAAAAAGAUAGUACCACAAGAGGAAGAGACGGCUACGUCUGUGCCAGCAGCCGCGGUAAUACAGAGGUCUCAAGCGUUGUUCGGAAUCACUGGGCGUAAAGCGUGCGUAGGCGGUUUCGUAAGUCGUGUGUGAAAGGCGCGGGCACAACCCGCGGACGGCACAUGAUAAUGGGAGACUAGAGGAAUGGAGGGGGAAGUGGAAGUCUCGGUGUAGCAGUGAAAUGCGUAGAUAUCGAGAGGAACACUCGUGGCGAAGGCGGGUUCCUGGACAUUAACUGACGCUGAGGCACGAAGGCCAGGGGAGCGAAAGGGAUUAGAUACCCUAGUAGUC